UACAGGGGGGGCAAGCGUUGUUCGGAAUUACUGGGCGUAAAGGGCUUGUAGGUGGCCAACUAAGUCACACGUGAAAUCCCCAGGCUUAACCUGGGAACUGCGUGUGAUACUGGAUGGCUUGAAUCCGGGAGAGGGAUGCGGAAUUCCAGGUGUAGCGGUGAAAUGCGCAGAUAUCAGGAGGAACACCGGUGGCGAAGGCGGCUUGCUGGGCCAGUUCUGACGCUGAGGAGCGAAAGCGUGGGGAGCGAACAGG
rnacentral:rRNA from 1 species